GCACCUGUUCGACGUUUGUGCGAAUCCAUGCCACGUCGACUCCGUGCAUGUGUACAGGCUCAGGGAGGUCACACUCGCUACUGACGGACGUAAGGGGGGUCUGUGUGUGACGCUUGACGUGUCAGUCAUAUUGGCGGAACUCUUGCAAUCAUUUUUUAUGAAAAUGAAGCACAAUGAAAUUCUCAACAUAUUUGUAGAACAAUUUUCAUCCAAGUAUUGUUGUUUGUUAAGUUUUCCUCAUUUGAAUUUGGUUUUGCGUUUUCAAUGUGUGUCAGUAUAUUUGAAAUUUUUCAACGUUAA